GAUGAACGCUGGCGGCGUGCCUAAUACAUGCAAGUCGAGCGAACAGACGAGGAGCUUGCUCCUUUGACGUUAGCGGCGGACGGGUGGGUAACACGUGGAUAACCUACCUAUAAGACUGGGAUAACUUCGGGAAACCGGAGCUAAUACCGGAUAACAUGUUGAACCGCAUGGUUCAACAGUGAAAGACGGUCUUGCUGUCACUUAUAGAUGGAUCCGCGCCGCAUUAGCUAGUUGGUAAGGUAACGGCUUACCAAGGCAACGAUGCGUAGCCGACCUGAGAGGGUGAUCGGCCACACUGGAACUGAGACACGGUCCAGACUCCUACGGGAGGCAGCAGUAGGGAAUCUUCCGCAAUGGGCGAAAGCCUGACGGAGCAACGCCGCGUGAGUGAAGAAGGUCUUCGGAUCGUAAAACUCUGUUAUUAGGGAAGAACAAAUGUGUAAGUAACUAUGCACGUCUUGACGGUACCUAAUCAGAAAGCCACGGCUAACUACGUG
rnacentral:rRNA from 1 species